CAAACUCAAAACUAAAUCAUUGUGCAAUUAACACUUGAAACUCCAAUCAUGAAUAACGUGAAGGAAUAGAACCCAGUGAGGGAGACUGAGGUGGAUGAGCUACAGAUGAUGGAGAAAGGUCUGGAAAGAGGGGUGCCCUGGGAUCCACAGAAAGAGAAUGUUUCAGAAGGAAGAAUCAGUCUGCCGUACUAAAUGGCUUGAGAAAGUCCUAGAAGGAUAAAAACUAAAAGUUGCACAUUGGAUUUGACAACUGACCUCUGAGAGAAUGGUUUUAAUGGAAGGCAGAAACCAGAGAGCAGAGGGUCGAAGAGCAAGACCUGGAGAUGGGAGCUACUCUUUCCAGUGGCCAGACUGUGAAGGGAAGAGUGAUGCUCACAGCAACGGGAAGGAAUGAGAACACUGGGUCGGGGAGGUCUUCCCCCUGAAGACAGGAGAGAUUGGACUAUGUUAAUGUGUGGGAGACAGAUGGUUGAAAGAGAGUUGCUAAAGUUACUGGGGGAUGAUUGAUGGGAAGUGGAGGAGGUGGAAUUGUCCCUGGGCAUGGGAAGGGACAACUUGUAUUCCAUGGACACUGUGGGGAAGGAGACAAGGAAGUACAAGUCUGAUUCACUGAGGUAAUGGAGGCUGAGAGUUGAGGGCGCUCAUCCUCGAGACUUCCCACUUAAAUGUGCAUAGGAGGUCAAUAGGGGAUUAAGUGAGAUAGUGAGAAAGCUUAUGUGCAGAUUCAUUGCCUCAUCUUUCCUUUGCCCUCCUUUGAUCAUUUUUAAAGCAAAGUGCAGUUUAGUCAGUCAUCUACAAUAGAAGAAUAACUUAUAGACUGCAUGUAGAGAUCUUAAGGGGACAAAUAAUUCAUAGACAACUCCCUCUCCCUCCCCAUCCAGACACAUUCACCAUUAUAUUCAUUUAAUUCAUUGGCAAAUGACAGGUAGAGUAUUGGUAUUCAGCUCAGCUUGACAGUUUAACCCAAUAAUUAGCACCAACAACAAUGCUUUCUGGAAAUGUUUUCCCAGGUACGGUUUCUUCUGGCCCAGGAGAGCUGAAUCCAUUCAGAGGUGUCCUGGUCCCAGGAAAAGCAAGGUCGAGUUUGGGUCCUGCAGUGGAACCAAUUUUGUUCUCAAUCUUCAGCUGCUUUGGGGCUUCUUCUGGCACCCCAAGCUCUAUCAAAGGCAGAUCUAUUUGGGGUGACUACACAUAUGGAAACUAAAGAUUGGGGAAUGUAUUCAUAUAAACAACAUUGGCCAGGCACCUUUGGGAAGCCUUCAUGGACUCCACAGAGGCAUGGGGGGUAGGGUGGAGUCCAUGCACCCCAGUGUGAUGGGCUCUGCUUUAGCAGAAUAAAGCUAAAUCAAGUUGUUACCAAAAAUGACAGGCAGGUUGUUAUUCCAGGCAUAUCUUAUACACUCACUUUCAGAGCUGUUUAGAGUUUUGCUGAUUUGACACCCAGAAAACCCACAGGAGUCCAGAGAUUUUACAUUUUCUGGGCAUUAAGUGCAAAGUACUUGCCAGAUAACAGAGUUUUAGUGGGAUGCCAAGGAGUGUUGCAUAGCAGACCAUGAGUCUGGGCUGUUAUCACAUGAGCCGCAGUGAAUUGCUGGCUGAGUACAGAGUAUGGUAACACCUGAGAAGCUUCAUUCUCAGGGCCAGAUCUGUCACUCUGAAUCUUAGGGCAUCCUAAGCUUGGCUGCAGUUGUGUAUGUAUCAAAACAGAUAUUCCAAAAGGUUCCAGCCAGAAGCAAGCAACACAACCCAGUGACAAACUUAAAAAACAGAGGUAAAGAGAUGUUCUAGUGCCAAUAAUAAUUUUUUAGAACUAGGGACCCAAAUUAAUUCAGCACAAGUUCUUCAUGGUGAUGCAUUUACUAUUACUAAAAUGAAUGAGAGUAACUUGAGUGUCUGUAUGAAAGUGUGUCUGUCCUUACACUGCCUUCCUUUGAAGGAAGACUUGGCCCCAGCCCACAGGAAUCUGUGAUCAGGAGGCUGGAAAGUGAGAUCUCCACAGACCUAGAACUUGCAUGUGCCUGAAUAACUGUCAACAACAGGUACAGAGCUUGCCUCCCGGUAUGAUCUUGGAAUGAAGAAAUGAUCAAGAGGAGCACUUUUCCAAUGUAUCCACUAAAUGGUAAAACCACACAAUGACUGAAAAUGACGUCGGUUCUUCAGUUAGCAUUUGACCUGGAGCAUGGGGAAAAUAGAAGGAAAAUGGAAACUACUUAGGCAGCAUUUUAUCAGGAGGUGGAAGCAGCGUGGGAAAAUAUUUCACAUGGUUCCUGCCUACUCAGCCUGACAAAGAAAGCUGUGGUUUGUUGUCAGAUUCCUUCAACUAAAUGUGUCAAAGGGAGAGAAACCUCUCUUGAGUGAGAGACCGCUCUCUCCAAACAGCUGCACAUUGCCUCCCUCCUCUGUGGCUCACACCAUCCCCAGCCCUCUCUCCUCUCUUCACACUUGGAGCUGGAAAGUGGAAUGGAGAAGAGGUCCUUAUCCUUAGCUCUCUCCUGUGUGUCAGCCUUCAUUCUUGCCAUGGACUCGUUUCUGGCUCCACCCCAGCAGGAUGCUACAUGGUCAUCUUAACAAUAACAAGGAUAGCCAUAGAAGCAAUGGGGCCUGAGUGGACCCCAGCAAUCAUCCCAGGAGCCCCAGUAAAUGGUGUGCAAGUGGUUUCUGUCCCUGCACGUGAAGCAAAAACUUUGAUCCUCUUCAUUCUUUUAUGAAAGUGAUUAUUUUGAAAGUGCUGAUCCUCAAUAUCACUUCACUGAUAAAGAUUUGAGUUUCUCUUGCCUGCCACCAUGUAAGAUGUGCCUUUGCUUCUCCUUUGCCAUGACCGUGAGGCCUCCCCAGCCAUGUGGAACCAUGCAUCCAGUAAACCUCUUUCCUUCAUAAGUUACCGAGUCUCUGGUAUGUCUCUAUUAGCAGCAUGAGAACAGACUAAUACAGUGGUUAAGAACAUAAGCUUUAGAGUCAGACACCCCUGGUAUUUAUUUAUUUGUUUUGGAGACAAGAUCUUGCUCUGUCACCCAGGCUGGAGUGCAGUGGCACGAUUGUGGCUCACUGUACCCUUGACCUCCUGGGCUCAUGCAAUCCUCGACCUCAGCCAAGACUAUGGGCACAUGCCGUAAGUGCCUAAGUCUCACUAUGUUGCCCAGGCUGGUCUUUAACUCCUGAACUUAAGCAAUCCUCCUGCCUUGGCCUCCCAAAGUGCUUGGAUUACAGAUGUGAACCACCGCACUGAGUGCUACACCUAGGUUUUAAACUGUAUUCUACUGCUCGUGAGGUAUAUAAAAUGGGGAAACUUUUAAAAAUUCUAUUGUUAUCAGUUUCAUUAUAUGUAAAGUGAGAAUAAUAAUAUCUGUUGCAUAGAGUUGUUAAUAGUGGUUGUUGAGAACUCCUACAUCAGAGGGCUGUGAGAUUAUAUAAAAGGAAGCACUUAUCACAGUGCUCAGUCUAAAGGAAGUGUUAAAUGGUGGUAUUAUUACUUUGAUAAGAAAU